CGGGUUUAUUUGACCUGCGUUAAGGUACGCUGCGUCAGGAAAGCUGUUUCUCAGAUGUUAAGUAACAGGAACACACGUUUCCCUCGGUGCAGCCUUGCUCUUACGCUUUGAACUAAUCUGCUGGUGUGGAUGGCAGCAGUGACGGAGGAAUCCAUUCACCAAACUGCCUGUCUAAAUUGGAAUAUCAGUGUCUCACACAAGCUAAAUGGAGCUGGCUAUGGUGAACAAAAGUGUAAAUGCUACCACUUGGCGUGUAGGAUCUUCAAAGAAGCCUUUUAUUUAUGGCCUACGUCAUGUGGGCUGACUUGUGAACAAUCAAAGCAACUCCAAAAUUAAAUUCCACCUUAAGGAUCAUUGUUUGGGACUAAGGAUGGGGCUUCUCCUGGUGAUCGGAGGACACGUAACGUUUAUACUGUAUUUUACGAGAUGUACAUUUGACAGGGUAGAGAAGACAGGAGAAAUCUGGCCUUGCUCAUUCACUUUGUUAUGAAUGUGGUGGUUGUGAGCCUGCUGUCAAUUUCCACUGCGAUCGACUGCAUUCCCUACAGACUGGAACACAGAAAACACGUUUCUGAGAAAAACUCUUCUCGCAGCCUGGAUGUGAGAUUGCUGGUGGCAUCCUUAUUUAGGGCAGUUGAUCAUCAGUUAUUUCACUAUCAUGGCAAUGGUUGCGACACAAGCCAGAAGCCACCUGGGGGUUCUUUACCUGAGAUGGGCUGUUCUGCUGGUGCUCCGACUUGGCCUGCAGAAUUAUUUUAUCGUCCAGGGCCUCAAUCGGGAGCCCUUCCACCUCAUUCAGAUGGCAGCUAUGGACACAAAUGCCUGUACUGUCCAAGAUCAUGCAGAAAUACGGAUUGUUGUGGACAGAAAUGAAUCCAAAAGUGUUAGAACUUUAGGUUCUGAUGAGACCAAGUGGAGGAGAAGAACUUUAAAGGAGGUCUGUGCCUUUCUGCUGUUGAGUCGUCAAGUUUAUUUAUUUGAGUAAUAUCACUGUAAGGUAUAUUUCUGCCUUUUCCCUUGUUUUUUGCAGUACAUUUGUGUGUUAUCUUUUCGUCUGCUUUCACAGCUCUGGAUCAUGCCAGCUUUCAGGGCUCGUCCUCCGUUUGAUUACUCUAAUGCUGAACUUCUACAGUCACACUGUGUGGACUCAUAGUGACUAUUGGAUUUCUGUUUGGAAACUUCUACAGGAUGCACUCUGUUGCCAGCCUCCUUGAAGUUUACUUGACAUCCUAAAUUUCCUAUGUUUUUUUUUAGCUGUGGGGGGAAAAAAGCUUUUAUAUUAAUUAUUUUGGACUAUUUUACAAUAUAGUAAGUUCUAUACAAUCAAAUAAGUGACAUGUUUGAAUUUUUUCUCAUUAACUGUCAUUGGUGGUGUUUUUCUUUGUUUUUUGGCUGAAAUGUUGUACUGUGUGUGUGUGUAUACAAAGAUUAAUUGUGAGCAUUUUGCUUAUAACUAAAGUAGUUGUCAGUUGAAAGAAGUAAAUGUAAACCUAUAGAAGAAACAAAUCCACUUAAAAUGUGCUCAAAGCUUUCAAUAUAUUUCAUUUGUCAUAGUUAUGGGUUUAAAAACCUUUAUAGAUAGAUCCAUAAUGAUUUUAAAUGAGUAGGCCCUACCUGUAAAACCCUAUAUACUUAUCAGAGCAAUUAUUCAAAAAUCUUUUUUCAGUUUACAAUAAAUAAAAAUCAAGCAGGCUUUGUGCUUUUAGGUAAUAUAUGAACAAAAGGUCAUGAGUUUCCAAAGCAUUCAGAGCUGCAGUUUUUGCUAAUAAUACAGCUGCAACCCCUUAAAUCUGUCGGCAUUGCACUUUGCAACAAGGGUGGAGCCUUGGGGGCUGCCUCCAUCUAUUCUGGAGGUGGGGGGACACCUCCAGAAUAGAUGGAGGCAACAGCAGUCCUCUCAUCCACUAACACAAUUAUAAUAGAAGCGUUUUUUUUUCCUCACCCCAGACUGAGUUAAGUUUUAAAGGCAACAACAUUUAUUCACUUUGAAAAGUUUCCUAUCUUAUUUUAAAAUAACAAUAAAAAUGGCUGGUUUCCUGUGAAAGAGAAAAAAAUGGGACACCGCAAAUAACUUCAAUUGUGAAGGGGCAAUGUAUUAUGUGUGUAUGCUUGUCAGCUCAUAAACAGCCUCUGAAAUAGCAUAAGUGGAAGGGACCUCUUUUCUUUGUCUUCUUUUAAAAGAUAAAUGAUGUGCCCAAGUGCUGUGCUCCAUUAUUACUUUUUUUUAAAUUUAAGGUAUUUUCCAUAAAAGCCAUAAACAGUUUCAUGGUGUCAAUGCUGUUUAGAAGGAAAAAAUGCAGUUUUAUUAUUAUAAGAUGAAUGAAGGUAAAUUAUCAACAUUGAUGAUAAAUAAACAUGAAAGAUGACUUGGGA